GUCAACUUCCAGCGGACGGACACGGAGGAAAGGGCCUGGCUACCACCAGUUGAGUCAAUGAUUCAUGAAGAGACAGUUUGGGCAGCAGCAACAAGACAACCAUUACAAGUAGAGAUGGGUUUCAAGAACUGGUACUAAUUUGGUUCCUGACUUGUUCGACACAACCACAUAUCAUGUAAAUCAUCUCAGAGUGGAUGGCAGCAAGGAUCCAGGAUCAAGAGAUCAUUCAUCAUGGAGACUGUUCCACAGGAAGCAGUUUAUCCUGGGUGAAAAACUAAACCUGGUGGUUUCAGCAUCACUCAGGC